AUGUCAGCACAGGAACAACACCUCCGACGGCGAGGAAGGGCAUGCCGUCGCCAAAUCACCAGCGGCCCCGACAUGCCAUGUCCUCCCAGCUCCACUGCCAAAGAAGGCCCCUGCCUACUCGGCUGGCUCGAAGGCGCCGAACCAUUGACAGUGAAGAAGUUCACCCUAGAACCUGGGAGGAAGGACACCGGCAGGCUGCAACUGGGAAGGAACCGAGCGAACCCGACUAGCCACGGGGUGCUCACCUGGAGCAUAGCACCACCAAAACCCAUGAACUGGACACCGAAGAGAAAGAGAUGCCGGAACGGACGGAGAAGAGCAGUGGCAAGUGACCCAGAAAGGGCACCAGCUACCGCCGCUGCUGCACACCCACUCGCCGAGGAGCCCAACCCACCUAGCUCCCAAAAACGACGCCUUCAGGAAGGACGCGGCGCCAAGGGCGCCGCCGCCGCCCAACAGAGUUGUGGUUUUCACCUAGAAGACUAG
rnacentral:rRNA from 1 species